GAUAAACGCUGGCGGCGGCACAUAAGACAUGCAAGUCGAACGGACUUAACCAUUAGUUACUAUUGGAGCGGUUAGUGGCGGACUGGUGAGUAACACGUAAGCAACCUGCCUGUUAGAGGGGAACAACAGUUAGAAAUGACUGCUAAUACCGCAUAUGCCUUAAUUAUCACAUGAUAAUAGAGGGAAAGGAGCAAUCCGCUGAUAGAUGGGCUUGCGUCUGAUUAGAUAGUUGGUAAGGUAACGGCUUACCAAGUCGACGAUCAGUAGCCGGACUGAGAGGUUGAACGGCCACAUUGGGACUGAGAUACGGCCCAG
rnacentral:rRNA from 1 species